rnacentral:piRNA from 1 species
UGGUCUUUGUGGUGCACAUCAGGCGA